CCCCAAAAUGCGUUUAAAUACAAACACACACGCUUAAUUGUCUCCGGUUCUACCAGUUCUUGUCAAUUGCACAAUCGUCGCAGAGACUAGAGCCGUCAAUCAAGUGUAGAAAAGCCAUGGCUCUUCCAACUAAGAACUUGGUGGAAUCCACCAGAGUCAGGGCUCCACCACCGAAGCCCUCACCGUCACCAUCACAGUCGCAGUCGUCGUCGUCAUCUUCACCACCCAUUCCCGCAACAAAAUGCUGCGUCCGGACGUCAGAUUCAUGUUCUGCGCAUUUUAUAAACCAAAACGAGAGCAACUUCAAGCGCAGCGCUUCGCCACUUCGGCUCAUGAAUUAUCAAAAUGGCUCGUGGAUUGAUCUCUCAAACGAGGUGAUUGAUUCUGUCAAAUCCAGUUUCUUAGAGCGCAAGCCAAUGGUUAUUGUUACAAUUGAAGGGUCAAAAUACGUGUUUGACUUUCUGAGAAUGGUACGGAUUGAUUUUGAGACUGGGAAACAACGUUCGAUUGCGUGGAUCGAUGUGAACGGCAAAUGUUUUUUCCCUACAGUUUUUCUCAGUGAACAAGAUGAAGAUUGUGUAGAGAGAUCAGAAAGUAAUACAAGUAAAAUCGAGAUCGAGAUCAAUAUUAAAGAUGGCUUGGGGAAGAGACAACGAGAGGCCGUUGAUAAAGACGAUGAAGUCAGUUCAGAAGACGUGUCAAAACGACCGCGUUUAAUCACACAACGUGCAGAUUCUUCUGGAUGGCUAAAUACAAAGUUCUUGAAAGAAACAGACAGAGCGUAUACACUCGUAAGAAACUAUUUUCUUGCCGGAAUGAAAAAAACCGAUGCCGCCGUGACUGUCACUGCCAUUCACCAGUGUACACGUAUAGGUCAUUUGGAGAGAGCGCGUUUGGAUGUUUUUCAAAAACAGAUUGAGAUGACAAAAGCAGCUCGUGGUGCGUCGAAUACUGUGUACUCAUGGCACGGCACGUCAGCAAGAGGCGUUGAGAGCAUUCUAGCCCAUGGUUUCGGUGUGCCUAGCAAGAUUUCGACUUAUGGGAUCGGCGUUUAUCUGUCACCCGUCGGAUUGCCUGGUUUAAGUGCCCAACUAGCCGAGGCGGACCAGAAUGGUGAGAAGCACGUGAUACUGUGUCGUGUUAUAUUGGGUAAUGUGGAGAAAGUUGAGGCGGGGGCUCAACAAUGUUAUCCAUCUAGGGUAGAUCUCGAUUCUGGUUCAGAUGAUCCGAAAAAUCCAAAGUGGUAUGUAGUCUGGCCGAGUAACAUGAACAGACACGUUAUUCCCGAGUGUGUUGUGAGCUAUAGGUCGACUGGCCACUUGCAAGGCCAAUUAAAAGGACCUAGUUGUACAAAGUAUCCUUUGGAGAAGUUAUUCUCAAAGAUGAAGAGUUCACUUUCUCCCACCAAACUGCAGGAAGUGAUGAAUUUGUACCAUACUUACAAGGCAGGGAAGCUGGCAAAAGAUAGCUUCUUUAAACAGUUGCGAUUGGUUGCUGGGGAUCAGAUGUUGCUAUCCACCAUUCGAGAGAUUCAUGCGUCAGAAUGAGUUAGUUAUUGCCAAAAUUGACAGCUGGCUGAAGAUACUCGAGAUUCAAGAUGUUAGAUAAUACUGGUUUGGGAUAUCUAGCCAAUGUUUGGAUGUUUAUGCAGAAGAGGAAACUGAACAGAUAGUUGGUGCUGACUAUGAAGUGGGAAGAGAUGCCUUCUUUCUUGCUUGGUAUAGGGCUUUCCAACGUGCUAGAUGGGUGCCUGGGUUAGCCCUCUCAUCGCCUCAACUGAUGUGCAUUACUCCACAGUAACAUUACUUUGCAUCCCUCCCUUUCUUCUGGUUAUGGCACUAACAUUUCAGGUAGCCUUCAUUCAGUGUCCACGAGCAUUAUGGCAUGCACGGGGUAAAGUUGGUCAACUUAAUCUUUUUCAAAGAUCUACAUCUUCUUUGUUUAGUUUAUAAUAUAUGACCCACGAAUUAAAGAAAUCUUAUCUGAAUUUAUGUUUUCAUAUGAUCUGUGAGUACUUUUACAACUACGAAAUUAGUUGAAGAAUCUAGAACUUCGGGGAUGAUGUAAAGAUUGAGCUGAGGAGAAAUGUUACUGCAGAUCACUAAAACAUUACCUCCUAGCAUAUGCACGUGCACACUGCAAAGGACAAAAAGAAAAAAAAAAAAAAAGCAAAGAAAAGACCUUUUUUCUCUUGGGUUUGGUGAAAGAAAAAAGUGGUGGUCUGGUACCCAUUAUGAAUUCAAGUGCUGAUUUGUAGCUAGCCAAUCAGCCAGCAUCUGAACUCAUGUGUGCUGCACCCUGCACUAGGAUUUUGUUUUACCUGAUACCUGUAUGCCUAAUUACUAAUGAUAAGCAUUGUCGCUGAUUAAACACACCUUCUGCCUCCAAUGAGCUAUUUGAAUGUCUCCUCUGUUGCUGCACAAUAUUUACCACUGGGUUGAUUUUGGUUGUAAAUUUACAGGUUAAGAUGGGUCUAAGAAUCUUAUUUAAAAGGUCUAAGAAAUGAGUUCUCUGUAUAUGAAUGGGAUUACAGGAGCUACUGAUGAUACAUCUUAUACUAGUUUGGCAUUGCUUACUAGAAUGUUUAUCUGCAAGUAUGGGUUCUCUUGUGUAUGAGUAACAGGCAGUUGGAGGCAAAUACUAAACCUGUGGCAAGUGUUGUCAGGAAAAAUCUGCAUAUACUAAAUGGUGCAUCAAUAUAACUUGUUCACAGCUACUAAUUUCCUGAUGUUAUUUUCAGGUGGAAAAAAUAUGCAUUGUAUUGUAUUUUUUGUCUUGACUGUUACCAAGUCCAAACAGUGGUUGUUAAUUGUACCGAUUCAAUGUAAUAAUUUUUGCAUUUACUGUC